GCCUGGGUGGCUCAGUUGGUUGGGUGUCUGACUUCAGCUCAGGUCAUGAUCUCGCGGUCCGUGGGUUCGAGCCCUGCGUUGGGCU
rnacentral:tRNA from 1 species